AGUGAACGCUGGCGGUAGGCCUAACACAUGCAAGUCGAACGGCAGCACAUAGGAGCUUGCUCCUUUGGUGGCGAGUGGCGGACGGGUGAGGAAUACAUCGGAAUCUACUCUGUCGUGGGGGAUAACGUAGGGAAACUUACGCUAAUACCGCAUACGACCUACGGGUGACAGCAGGGGACCUUCGGAGCUUGCGCGAUUGACUGAGCCAAUGUCGGAUUAGCAAGUUGGGGGGGUAAAGGCCCACCAAGGCGACGAUCCGUAGCUGGUCUGAGAGGAUGAUCAGCCACACUGGAACUGAGACACGGUCCAGACUCCUACGGGAGGCAGCAGUGGGGAAUAUUGGACAAUGGGCGCAAGCCUGAUCCAGCCAUACCGCGUGGGUGAAGAAGGCCUUCGGGUUGUAAAGCCCUUUUGUUGGGAAAGAAAUCCAUCUGGUUAAUACCCGGGUGGGAUGACGGUACCCAAAGAAUAAGCACCGGCUAACUUCGUGCCAGCAGCCGCCGUAA
rnacentral:rRNA from 1 species